UACGGGGGGGGCAAGCGUUGUUCGGAAUUACUGGGCGUAAAGGGCUCGUAGGCGGCCAACUAAGUCGGAUGUGAAAUCCCCAGGCUUAACCUGGGAACUGCAUCCGAUACUGGAUGGCUUGAAUCCGGGAGAGGGAUGCAGAAUUCCAGGUGUAGCGGUGAAAUGCGUAGAUAUCUGGAGGAAUACCGGUGGCGAAGGCAGGUCUCUGGGCAUUAACUGACGCUGAGGAGCGAAAGCAUGGGGAGCGAACAGG
rnacentral:rRNA from 1 species